rnacentral:rRNA from 1 species
GCCUAACACAUGCAAGUCGAACGCACCGCAAGGUGAGUGGCAGACGGGUGAGUAACGCGUGGGAACGUGCCCUUCGGUUCGGAAUAACCCGGGGAAACUCGGGCUAAUACCGGAUACGUCCGUAAGGAGAAAAAUUCAUCGCCGAAGGAUCGGCCCGCGUCGGAUUAGCUAGUUGGUGAGGUAACGGCUCACCAAGGCGAUGAUCCGUAGCUGGUCUGAGAGGACGAUCAGCCACACUGGGACUGAGACACGGCCCAGACUCCUACGGGAGGCAGCAGUGGGGAAUAUUGGACAAUGGGCGCAAGCCUGAUCCAGCCAUGCCGCGUGAGUGAUGAAGGCCUUAGGGUUGUAAAGCUCUUUUAGCGGGGACGAUAAUGACGGUACCCGCAGAAAAAGCCCCGGCUAACUUCGUGCCAGCAGCCGCGGUAAUACGAAGGGGGCUAGCGUUGCUCGGAAUCACUGGGCGUAAAGCGCACGUAGGUGGAUCGCUAAGUCGGGGGUGAGAUCCUGGAGCUCAACUCCAGAACUGCCUUCGAUACUGACGAUCUUCGAGUCCGGGAGAGGUGGGUGGAACUGCGAGUGUAGAGGUGAAAUUCGUAGAUAUUCGCAAGAACACCAGUGGCGAAGGCGGCUCACUGGCCCGGUACUGACACUGAGGUGCGAAAGCGUGGGGGAGCAAACAGGAUUAGAUACCCUGGUAGUCCACGCCGUAAAACGAUGGAUGCUAACCCGUUGGUGAACCUUGCUCAU